rnacentral:snRNA from 1 species
GUUCCCUUUGGCAGCACUUAACAAAAUUCUGAACAAUACAGGGAAGAUAAGCAUAGUCCUUGCACAAGGAUGUCACCGCAUUCAUGAAGUGUUCCAUAUUAAA